GACUAACGCUGGCGGCGUGCCUAACACAUGCAAGUCGGACGUGUUGUUUAUAGUAGCAAUAUUGUGAACAGCAAGUGGCGAACGGGUGAGUAACACGUAGAUAAUCUGCCUUUCAGACAGGGAUAACUCAGGGAAACUUGUGCUAAUACCCGAUGAGACUACGGGAGGGGACUUCUGUAGCCAAAGGAGGGGGCAACCUCUCGCUGAAAGAUGAGUCUGCGUCCUAUCAGCUAGUUGGUGGGGUAAAAGCCUACCAAGGCGAAGACGGGUAGCCGGCCUGAGAGGGUGAACGGCCACACUGGGACUGAGACACGGCCCAGACUCCUACGGGAGGCAGCAGUGAGGAAUUUUCCGCAAUGGGCGCAAGCCUGACGGAGCGACGCCGCGUGAGGGAUGACGGCCU
rnacentral:rRNA from 1 species